rnacentral:tRNA from 1 species
GCACUUAUGGUGGAAUUGGUAGACACGCCAUCUUGAGGGGGUGGUUACCAUAGGAUGUGAGAGUUCGAGUCUCGCUCAGUGCACCA